rnacentral:lncRNA from 1 species
CGGCCGCAGCCAUGGAUCGCGGGGAGGAACCUCUGUCCGCGAGGCCGGCGCUGGAGACCGAGAGCCUGCGAUUCCUGCACGUCACAGUGGGCUCCCUGCUGGCCAGCUAUGGCUGGUACAUCCUCUUCAGCUGCGUCCUUCUCUACAUUGUCAUCCAGAAGCUCUCCCUGCGACUGAGGGCUUUAAGGCAGAGGCAGCUGGACCAAGCUGAGGCUGUUCUGGGUUAGUAUCAUGUGAUAGAAAAGAAGGCGCCUGUCGUUUACUUAGUGGGUGGUGCCAAAAUAUGCCUUCAAGUUUGAGUUUUGAAAGAUUUUAUUGAGAUGCAAAGAUUCCCCGAUGGAUGCACAUCAUGUUUAGCUGCUGGGAGCCAGUUCUUGGAGAUGGCCAGGUCCGGUGGAUGAAAUCAGGAGUGGUAAGGGAGGAGGG